rnacentral:rRNA from 1 species
UUAGCGGCGGACGGGUGAGUAACGCGUGGGUAACCUGCCUUACACUGGGGGAUAACAGUUAGAAAUGGCUGCUAAUACCGCAUAAGCGCACAGGGCCGCAUGGUCUGGUGUGAAAAACUCCGGUGGUGUAAGAUGGACCCGCGUCUGAUUAGGUAGUUGGUGGGGUAACGGCCCACCAAGCCGACGAUCAGUAGCCGACCUGAGAGGGUGACCGGCCACAUUGGGACUGAGACACGGCUCAA